rnacentral:ncRNA from 1 species
AUAAAAAUUUUAAAAGAUAAAUAAAUAAAAAUAAAUAAAAUUAAGAGAAGAAAAUCAGGCAGGUAGUGGCCCCUGACACAAUGAAUUUUCCCACAAUUGGAUUGCUUGGGAACACAGCCCGAAGAAUGUGGUAAACUCCAUCUAAGGCUAAAUACCAGCAUGAGACUGAUAAUAAACAAGUACUUUAUGGGAAAGCUUUUAAAAAAUUAUUUUUAAAAAGAGAGAAAUUAUACUGGAGAAAGAGGAAUUAAGGUAGAAUAAUUCUUUUUUUUUCGAGACGGAGUUUUGCUCGUUACCCAGGCUGGAGUGUAGUGGCGUGAUCUCGGCUCACUGCAACCUCUGCCUUUGGAGUUCAAGUGAUUCUCAUGCCUCAUCCUCCCGAGUAGCUGGGACUACAGGCGUGCACCACUACACCUGACUAAUUUUUGUAUUUUUAGUAGAGACAGGGUUUUACCAUGUUGGCCAGGCUGUUCUCAAACUCCUGGCCUCAGGUGAUCCGCCCACCUUGGCCUCCCAAAAUGCUGGGAUUAUAGGCAGGAGCCACUGCGCUUGGCCUGAAGAACAAUUUUUAAAAGAAUU